rnacentral:rRNA from 1 species
GAUGAACGCUGGCGGCGUGCCUAAUACAUGCAAGUCGAGCGAACAGACGAGGAGCUUGCUCCUCUGACGUUAGCGGCGCACGGGUGAGUAACACGUGGAUAACCUACCUAUAAGACUGGGAUAACUUCGGGAAACCGGAGCUAAUACCGGAUAAUAUAUUGAACCGCAUGGUUCAAUAGUGAAAGACGGUUUUGCUGUCACUUAUAGAUGGAUCCGCGCCGCAUUAGCUAGUUGGUAAGGUAACGGCUUACCAAGGCGACGAUGCGUAGCCGACCUGAGAGGGUGAUCGGCCACACUGGAACUGAGACACGGUCCAGACUCCUACGGGAGGCAGCAGUAGGGAAUCUUCCGCAAUGGGCGAAAGCCUGACGGAGCAACGCCGCGUGAGUGAUGAAGGUCUUCGGAUCGUAAAACUCUGUUAUUAGGGAAGAACAAAUGUGUAAGUAACUAUGCACGUCUUGACGGUACCUAAUCAGAAAGCCACGGCUAACUACGUG